CUAGGUGGUGCUGACUCAGUCUACUCUCUGUCUGUCCACUAGGUGGUGCUGACUCAGUCUACUCUCUGUCUGUCCACUAGGUGGUGCUGACUCAGCCUACGUCCUGCGUCUGUCCACUUCUAACAUCAGUAUGGACAUGGACACUUUCAUCAGCCUGGACCCUACUGUUAUACAGACUCUGGAUGUGAGGCAGGUCAAAGGUCUGCUGGGUUCUAACCUGCCAGAGCUGAGGAGCUAUGAGAACCAGAGCGUGGUCCAGACCUGGAUCAGCACCCGUUUCCAGGCCAUCUGGACUAUCUGGGGCUGGGUCUUAAGGGGGCAAGAUUGACCCCACCCCCGGUUGGUGUGGGAACCAUCCACCUUCCUAGUACCAGUGCAGGGGUAGCUGGGGCAGUCCCCACCGUGGCUGAGAGGAGCUGGAGCAGUCACCACCGUGGCUGGAGGAGCUGCUACUACAGCGAGCGGCGGAGCGAUCAACAGACCAACGUUGGCCUCCUCCUUCUCCUCACCACUCUGGCCGUCGCUGUCCUGUACAUUCUACACUGAUUUCACAGUAAAACAGUUAACUGACUCCAUAGCAUC